CACCCGGCGGUGUUUUUGUUCGAUACGGGGCCUGGGGACUGCAGCCGCCCGCUGGCUCGGCUCAGCCGGUCGGGGUUCUGCCAGAUGGGAGCGGCGUUGCCCGUAUCGAUGUGGUGACUCAAAAGCAUAGUGCGGCCGAUGUCAAAUUUGCCCUUGACAAGCCGGCCGUGACACCGCAGGGAGGAGGACCUUCCGCUUGUGGGACGCCGACCGGAGCCGCAGAACCCACGGGACCUGCAGCUCUUCCUAUCCCUCCGCGGACGCGAGUACGGGAUGUUUCUGGACGCGAGCGGGACAGUGGCGGGCCUCCAAUGGCGACGGAAGAACUUGCGCCCGUCGCCCCUAAAACCCUUCCACGUUCCCGCUCGGCGGGUGGGCCGCCGACCGUCCGGGACGGCCCGGCUACCCGUACUCGCUCGAAAUCCCUCACGUUUCGUUAGAUUGUGUUGUGUUGUGUUAUUGUUAUAAUGUCUUCAAUGCUUCGUGUCUUUUUGCGUGUUGGCCCUUUACACCCGCAUUG